UGCUGGUUAAUCUUAACUGUAUUGCCAGUUAAUUGAGUGAAUAGCUGCAGAAAUGAUUAAAUAUUCCCCUUCUAAUAAAUGGAUUUAUCCUAUCUAUGUACUUGAUAAAUUUUGGUUUUGCCCAACUUUCCCUAGCAAUGCAGGAAGAAGCUUUAAAGUUGGUUCUGCUGGCCUUAGAAGAUGGUUCUGCUUUGUCAAGAAAAGUAUUGGUUCUCUUUGUGGUGCAAAGAUUGGAGCCACGGUUUCCUCAAGCCUCUAAAACUAGCAUUGGGCAUGUUGUUCAGCUCCUUUAUAGAGCCUCCUGUUUCAAGGUCACCAAACGUGAUGAAGACUCUUCUUUGAUGCAGCUGAAAGAAGAAUUUAGAACCUAUG
rnacentral:sRNA from 1 species